GGUUGUGGCUCAGUGGUAGAGUACUUGCCUAGCAUGUGUGAGGCACUGGGCUCAAUCCCUGGCACCA
rnacentral:tRNA from 1 species